UACGAAGGGGGCUAGCGUUGCUCGGAAUUACUGGGCGUAAAGCGCACGUAGGCGGAUCUUUAAGUCAGGGGUGAAAUCCUGGAGCUCAACUCCAGAACUGCCUUUGAUACUGAGGACCUUGAGUUCGGGAGAGGUGAGUGGAACUGCGAGUGUAGAGGUGAAAUUCGUAGAUAUUCGCAAGAACACCAGUGGCGAAGGCGGCUCACUGGCCCGGUACUGACGCUGAGGUGCGAAAAGCGGUGGGGAGCAAACA
rnacentral:rRNA from 1 species